rnacentral:rRNA from 1 species
UACGAAGGGGGCUAGCGUUGCUCGGAAUCAUUGGGCGUAAAGCGCACGCAGGCGGAUCCUUAAGUCAGGGGUGAAAUCCCGGGGCUCAACCCCGGAACUGCCUUUGAUACUGGGGAUCUUGAGUCCGGGAGAGGUGAGUGGAAUUGCGAGUGUAGAGGUGAAAUUCGUAGAUAUUCGCAAGAACACCAGUGGCGAAGGCGGCUCACUGGCCCGGUACUGACGCUGAGGUGCGAAAGCGUGGGGAGCAAACAGG